AACGAACGCUGGCGGCAGGCCUAACACAUGCAAGUCGAGCGCUGUAGCAAUACAGAGCGGCGCACGGGUGAGUAACACGUGGGAACGUGCCCUUUGGUUCGGAAUAACUCAGGGAAACUUGAGCUAAUACCGGAUGAGCCCUAACGGGGAAAGAUUUAUCGCCGAAGGAGCGGCCCGCGUCGGAUUAGCUAGUUGGUGGGGUAAUAGCCUACCAAGGCAACGAUCCGUAGCCGGUUUGAGAGAACGACCAGCCACACUGGGACUGAGACACGGCCCAGACUCCUACGGGAGGCAGCAGUGGGGAAUCUUGGACAAUGGGGGAAACCCUGAUCCAGCCAUGCCGCGUGAGUGAUGAAGGCCCUAGGGUUGUAAAACUCUUUCGGCGGGGACGAUAAUGACGGUACCCGCAGAAGAAGCUCCGGCUAACUUCAUGCCAGCCGCCGCCGUAACAC
rnacentral:rRNA from 1 species